GCGUUCAUAGCUCAGUUGGUUAGAGCUCCACCUUGACAUGGUGGGGGUCGUUGGUUCGAGUCCAAUUGAACGCACCA
rnacentral:tRNA from 1 species